rnacentral:rRNA from 1 species
AACGAACGCUGGCGGCAUGCCUAACACAUGCCAGUCGAACGAGACCUUCGGGUCUAGUGGCGCACGGGUGCGUAACGCGUGGGAACCUGCCCUUAGGUUCGGAAUAACUCCCCGAAAGGGGUGCUAAUACCGGAUAAUGUCUUCGGACCAAAGAUUUAUCGCGUUUGGAUGGGCCCGCGUUGGAUUAGCUAGUUGGUAGGGUAAAAGCCUACCAAGGCGACGAUCCAUAGCUGGUCUGAGAGGCUGAUCAGCCACACUGGGACUGAGACACGGCCGAGACUCCUACGGGAUGCAGCAGUGGGGAAUAUUGGACAAUGGGCGAAAGCCUGAUCCAGCAAUGCCGGGUGAGUGAUGAAGGCCUUAGGGUUGUAAAGCUCUUUUACCCGGGAUGAUAAUGACAGUACCGGGAGAAUAAGCCCCGGCUAACUCCGUG